rnacentral:lncRNA from 1 species
AAGAGUAAAACCUAAUUAUAUUAUUCUAUUAUUCCCCGAGUGUGUAAAUUUGCAACGUAUCGAUGUCAACGUUCACAAAAACCAAAACCGGACAAACAUUAGACUACUCAGUUGCGCCCUAACAGUAUAACUUUACAACGAGUACUUUUUCUCCUUCAACCGAACAAAGAGUAAAACCUAAUUAUAUUGUUCCAUUAUGCCCCGAGAGUGUAAAUUUGCAACGUAUCGAUGUCAACGUUCACAAAAACCAAAACCGGACAAAUAUUAGACUACUCAGUUGUGCCCUAACAGUAUAACUUUACAUCGAGUACUUUUUCUCCUUCAACCGAACAAAGAGUAAAACCUAAUUAUAUUGUUCCAUUAUGCCCCGAGAUUGUAAAUUUGCAACGUAUCGACGUCAAUAUUCACAAGAACCAAAAUCGGAAAAAUAUUAGACUACUCAGUUGCUCCCUAACAGUGUAACUUUGCAAGAGUACUUUUUCUCAUUCAAUCAAAUAAAGAGUAAAACCAAAUUAUAUUAUUCUAUUAUGCCCCGAGUGUAUAAAUUUGCAACGUAUCGAUGUCAACGUUCACAAGAACCAAAACCGGAACAACAUUAGACUACUCAGUUACGCCCUAGCAGUAUAACUUUGCAAACAGUGCUUUUUCUCAUUCAAUCGAACAAAGAGAAAAACCCAAUUAUAUUGUUCUAUUAUUCCCCGAGAGUGUAAAUUUGCAACGUAUCAAUGUCAACGUUUACAAGAACCAAAUUCGAGAAAACAUUAGACAACUCAGUUGCUUCCUAACAGUAUAACUUUACAUUGAGUACCAUUUCUAAUUACAUCGUUCUAUUAUGCCGCGAGAGUGUAAAUUUGCAACGUAUCAAUUUCAACGUUCACAAAAACCAAAACCGGACCAACAUUAGACUACUAAGUUGCGCCCUAACAAUAUAACUUUGCAACGAGUACUUUUUCUCCUUCAACUGAACAAAGUGUAAAAUCUAAUUAUAUUGUUCUAUUAUGCCCCGAGAGGGUAAAUUUGCAACGUAUCGAUGUUAUCGUUCAGAAAAAUCAAAAUUGGACCAACAUUAGACUACUAAGUUGCGUCCUAACAGUAUAACUUUGCAACGAGUACUUUUUCUCCUUCUACCGAAGAAAGAGUAAAACCUAAUUAUGUUGUUCCACUAUGCCCCGAGAGUGUAAAUUUGCCACGUAUCGAUGUCAAUGUUCACAAGAACCAAAACCGGAAAAACAUUAGACUACUCAAUUGCUCCAUAACUGUAUAACUUUGCAAUGAGUACUUUUUCUCAUUCAAUCAAACAAAGAUUAAAAUCUAAUUAUAUUAUUCUAUUAUGCCCCGAGUGUGUAAAUUUGCAACGUAUCGAUGUCAACGUUCAUAAAAACCAAAACCGGACAAACAUUAGACUACUCAGUUGCUCCCUAACAGUAUAACUUUGCAAUGAGUACUUUUUCUCAUUCAAUCAAACAAAGAGUAAAACCUAAUUAUAUUAUUCUAUUAUUCCCCGAGUGUGUAAAUUUGCAACGUAUCGAUGUCAACGUUCACAAAAACCAAAACCGGACAAACAUUAGACUACUCAGUUGCGCCCUAACAGUAUAACUUUACAACGAGUACUUUUUCUCCUUCAACCGAACAAAGAGUAAAACCUAAUUAUAUUGUUCCAUUAUGCCCCGAGAGUGUAAAUUUGCAACGUAUCGAUGUCAAUGUUCACAAGAACCAAAAUCGGAAAAAUAUUAGACUACUCAGU